rnacentral:rRNA from 1 species
UAGAGUUUGAUCAUGGCUCAGAACGAACGCUGGCGGCAGGCCUAACACAUGCAAGUCGAGCGCGCCCUUCGGGGUGAGCGGCGGACGGGUGAGUAACGCGUGGGAACGUACCCUUUGCUACGGAAUAGUCUCGGGAAACUGGGGGUAAUACCGUAUGUGCCCUUCGGGGGAAAGAUUUAUCGGCAAAGGAUCGGCCCGCGUUGGAUUAGGUAGUUGGUGGGGUAAUGGCCUACCAAGCCGACGAUCCAUAGCUGGUUUGAGAGGAUGAUCAGCCACACUGGGACUGAGACACGGCCCAGACUCCUACGGGGGCAGCAGUGGGGA